UACGUAGGGUGCAAGCGUUGUCCGGAAUUAUUGGGCGUAAAGGGCUCGUAGGCGGUUUGUCGCGUCGGGAGUGAAAACACACAGCUUAACUGUGUGCUUGCUUCCGAUACGGGCAGACUAGAGGUAUGCAGGGGAGAACGGAAUUCCUGGUGUAGCGGUGAAAUGCGCAGAUAUCAGGAGGAACACCGGUGGCGAAGGCGGGUCUCUGGGCCGAUACUGACGCUGAGGAGCGAAAGCGUGGGGAGCGAACAGG
rnacentral:rRNA from 1 species